rnacentral:rRNA from 1 species
CACUACUUCUGGAAUGGGUAAUGACUCAAAUCUAUAUGGCCCCUGGAUUGGACUGCGGCCGAUCAGGCUGUUGGUGAGGUAAUGGCCCACCAAACCUGUAACCGGUACGGGCUCUGAGAGGAGGAGCCCGGAGAUGGGCACUGAGACAAGGGCCCAGGCCCUAUGGGGCGCAGCAGGCGCGAAACCUCUGCAAUAGGCGAAAGCCUGACAGGGUUACUCUGAGUGAUUUCCGUUAAGGAGAUCUUUUGGCACCUCUAAAAAUGGUGCAGAAUAAGGGGUGGGCAAGUCUGGUGUCAGCCGCCGCGGUAAUACCAGCACCCCGAGUGGUCGGGACGUUUAUUGGGCCUAAAGCAUCCGUAGCCGGUUCUACAAGUCUUCCGUUAAAUCCACCUGCUUAACAGAUGGGCUGCGGAAGAUACUAUGGAGCUAGGAGGCGGGAGAGGCAAGCGGUACUCGAUGGGUAGGGGUAAAAUCCGUUGAUCCAUUGAAGACCACCAGUGGCGAAGGCGGCUUGCCAGAACGCGCUCGACGGUGAGGGAUGAAAGCUGGGGGAGCAAACCGGAUUAGAUACCCGGGUAGUCCCAGCUGUAAACGAUGCAGACUCGGUGAUGAAUUGGCUUUAUGCCAAUUCAGUGCCGCAGGGAAGCCGUUAAGUUUGCCGCC